rnacentral:lncRNA from 1 species
UUAGGGUGUCAAGCUGUUCUACCUUUCUGGAAUGGUGCAUGGAGAAUAUCAAAACCAAGAAAUCCACAAUCUGGGCCGUUUUAUUACAGUUAUGAAGUUUAGGCCUCUCACAUGGCAAACUUCUCACCCUUAUAUCCUUGCAGACAGGACAAGGUGGGGCUCACCCAUGAGCUGGUCCAGAGUCUCAUCUCCACCUACUCCACCAUUGAUGCCAAGAUGGCUUCAAGUCGAGUGAUGCUGCUUUCCAAUUCCAAACCACUUGGGUCAGAGGCUAUAGAUAAUCGAGGGUGAGUGGUGUCAUUGAGCAAACACAAAGUCGGGCUCAUCCAAGGAUGAGAUUUUGCCAGAGAAAGGACGAGCAGCAAGUCAGGGAGCUUAAGGUAAUUAUGAGAAAGUGACUAUCUAAAAUUGCUUAGGUAGAAGGAGACAGGUUGGAUUUUUGUGUGUUUGGUAUUUGGGAUAAGAGGGAUGUGGGUGUGUACUUGACAUGGGUUGUUUAUUCU